GGAGGCGGAAUGGGCCCGGUGGCCCUCCUGGUCUUCAAAACCAGCGCACCCGCUAAUACCGGGUUGGUGGGUUCGACCCCCACACGCCUCCGCCA
rnacentral:tRNA from 1 species